rnacentral:rRNA from 1 species
AACUAACGCUGGCGGCGUGCCUAACACAUGCAAGUCGUACGAGAAAGCCGGCUUCGGCUGGUGAGUAAAGUGGCGCACGGGUGAGUAACGCGUGGAUAAUCUGCCCUUAAGUGCGGAAUAACGUACCGAAAGGUGCGCUAAUACCGCAUAAUGCCUGGCAACACAAGUUGUCCAGCCAAAGAAGGCCUCUGUUUACAAGCUUUCGCUUCAGGAUGAGUCCGCGUACCAUUAGCUUGUUGGUGGGGUAAUGGCCUACCAAGGCUGCGAUGGUUAGCUGGUCUGAGAGGAUGAUCAGCCACACUGGAACUGAGACACGGUCCAGACUCCUACGGGAGGCAGCAGUGAGGAAUAUUGCGCAAUGGGGGCAACCCUGACGCAGCAACGCCGCGUGAGUGAGGAAGGUUUUCGGACUGUAAAGCUCUGUCGAGCGGGAAGAAGUGUACCAUGGCUAAUAUCCAUGAUAUUUGACGGUUACCG